rnacentral:lncRNA from 1 species
AUCGACCCAGAAUUCAACAUAGAAAUCUGAUUACCUUCCAAUCUGGUUGUAUCUCUUUCUUAACUCCCUUUUUCGGAUACACUCUAGUUUUCAAAUUCUCCAUGGCUACCACUGACAAUACUGCUAUUAGUCACCCCCCAACCUCUACCUCAGUCUCACACAGUGAUUAACUCUAUUCAUUUUCAAUACCCCAUACACACUAAACAGGAUGAUUCCAACUUUCUACUUUGGCAAUCACUGAUUUUUCCUGUGGGGCCAUGGCCUUAUUGAAUACCUC